rnacentral:rRNA from 1 species
UACGUAGGGCGCGAGCGUUGUCCGGAAUUAUUGGGCGUAAAGAGCUCGUAGGCGGCCUGUCGCGUCAAUUGUGAAAGCCCGGGGCUUAACCCCGGGUCUGCAGUCGAUACGGGCAGGCUAGAGUGUGGUAGGGGAGAUCGGAAUUCCUGGUGUAGCGGUGAAAUGCGCAGAUAUCAGGAGGAACACCGGUGGCGAAGGCGGCAUCCUGGACCAACACUGACGCUGAGUGAGCGAAAGCCAGGGGAGCAAACGGG